rnacentral:rRNA from 1 species
CACUGUUAAUCUAACACAAGAACAUUGCAAGAAAGAUUUAAAAGAAAAGAAGGAACUCGGCAAAUUAUUAACCUCGCCUGUUUACCAAAAACAUCGCCUCUUGAAUUAUAAAUAUAAGAGGUCCCGCCUGCCCAGUGAUUUAAUUUAACGGNNNNNNNNNNNNNNNNNNNNNNNNNNAGCGUAAUCACUUGCUCUCUAAAUCAGGACUAGUAUGAACGGCACCACGAGGGUUCUACUGUCUCCUUUUUCCAAUUAGUGAACUUAAUCUUCCCGUGAAGAAGCCGGAAUAACCCUAUAAGACGAGAAGACCCUUUGGAGCUUUAAACAUCUUAGCACACAUCUUCAUAUUUCUGAAGCACGAUGACUAAAAGUUUUAGGUUGGGGUGACCGCGGAGUAAAAUAAACCCUCCACACUGUAAGAAAUCUUAACUAAGAGCCACACCUCUAAGUAUCAGCAUACUGACAUCUAUUGACCCAAUAUAUUUGAUCAAUGAACCAAGUUACCCUAGGGAUAACAGCGCAAUCCAUUUCAAGAGCCCCUAUCGCCAAAUGGGUUUACGACCUCGAUGUUGGAUCAGGAUCUCCUGGUGGUGCAGCCGCUACUAAUGGUUCGUUUGUUCAACGAUUAAAAUCCUA